GGGGUUGCCGGGCUGCUACCUGCAGUCGACGCUGAAGCCCCAGCUUGCUGGGGUGGAUGAGUGGCGAACGGGUGAGUAACACGUGAGUAACCUGCCCCUGACUUCGGGAUAAGCCCGGGAAACUGGGUCUAAUACCGGAUACGACUGCCGGACGCAUGUCUGGUGGUGGAAAGUUUUUUCGGUUGGGGAUGGGCUCGCGGCCUAUCAGUUUGUUGGUGAGGUAAUGGCUCACCAAGACGACGACGGGUAGCCGGCCUGAGAGGGCGACCGGCCACACUGGGACUGAGACACGGCCCAGACUCCUACGGGAGGCAGCAGUGGGGAAUAUUGCACAAUGGGGGAAACCCUGAUGCAGCGACGCAGCGUGCGGGAUGACGGCCUUCGGGUUGUAAACCGCUUUCAGCAGGGAAGAAGCCUUCGGGUGACGGUACCUGCAGAAGAAGUACCGGCUAACUACGUGCCAGCAGCCGCGGUAAUACGUAGGGUACGAGCGUUGUCCGGAAUUAUUGGGCGUAAAGAGCUCGUAGGUGGUUGGUCACGUCUGCUGUGGAAACGCAACGCUUAACGUUGCGCGUGCAGUGGGUACGGGCUGACUAGAGUGCAGUAGGGGAGUCUGGAAUUCCUGGUGUAGCGGUGAAAUGCGCAGAUAUCAGGAGGAACACCGGUGGCGAAGGCGGGACUCUGGGCUGUAACUGACACUGAGGAGCGAAAGCAUGGGGAGCGAACAGGAUUAGAUACCCUGGUAGUCCAUGCCGUAAACGUUGGGCACUAGGUGUGGGGGGCAUUCCACGUUCUCCGCGCCGUAGCUAACGCAUUAAGUGCCCCGCCUGGGGAAUACGGUCGCAAGGCUAAAACUCAAAGGAAUUGACGGGGGCCCGCCAAGCGGCGGAACAUGCGGAUUAUUCGAUGCACCCCAAGACCUUACCAGGCUUGACUACACCAGACCGUCUGG
rnacentral:rRNA from 1 species